UUGUCAGUGAGGUACAUCCUUACCUGUUACUUCAUUCAUGAAGUAUCAGAACAUGAUGAAUGGUUAAGAAUGAGAUACGAUUAAUCUCAUCCGAUAUUCAGAGAAAAGCAACACUCUGAGUAUCCCAAUCUGAC